rnacentral:lncRNA from 1 species
AGCUAGCCUCUAGAAAAGACUGCUCAAAUAUCGUUUUGAUAAUGGUGCUGUCUCUUGCUAUCCGGAACACAUUUCCUGAUCUUUAUCAUUCGAUAUUCUGUGAACCAGCUGAAUGUUUUUCAGUCGGUGGCAUAUUUCUUCCUUGAUGUCCUGCACCAUUCCUAGUCUGGGAGCUUUGCUGUUGCCCCUGAACUUUGGAGUUCUCUGAGACUGUUGACUCUGAUUACUGGUGUUUCUGAGGAGGUGGAAAAACAGAGGAACCGUUUAGGAAUGGAGAGUGGAACUUCAGGCGGCAUGAGACGAGGUAAUACACAAAUACAGCGUUAUUGUAAAAGAUUCAAGGAAUACUUCUAUCCUGACCUCUUCCAGCCCUGCCCAGUCAGACAUAAUCAUGCACCCUGUCUUUCCCCUUAGAGCUUGGAGCAAAUUCCUGAAUGAAGAGUCACUGGUCCCCGGGAUCAAGCGGGGAGAGGCUGAGACCUGGUCACACUUGAAUGCCUGGCUAAUGAGCUUUGUAAGAAUUUUUUGAUUAAUAAGUGAAUGGAGUUUUCUGAGCCUUUAUCUCUUCAUCUGUAAAAUGAGGAUCAUCAAGCUUAUUGCAUAAAGUCCUGCCUCCCAUAAACCAAAAAAUUGUGAAUACUCUAGGCCCACACUAGAGACAGAGGCCUGUGCCACAGUAUCUUGCUUUUCUAGGAGUUUGGUGAUUAGAGGGGAAUGAUAAUUCCUGGCUGGUUGUUAUUUCAAAAGAUGAUUUUUUUUUUUGAUUAUUGGAGUAGUACACAUUCAUUUUAUAGAGAAUUUGGAAAAACUCAGGGAAGUUAAGAAUAGAAGAUAGAAAGUAAAAAUAUGUCACUGUAGGGCACCUUUUGGGAUGAGCACUGGGUGUUGUAUGGAAGCCAAUUUGACAAUAAAUUUCAUAUAUUGAAAAAAAUAAAAAUAAAA